rnacentral:rRNA from 1 species
UACGGAGGGGGCUAGCGUUGUUCGGAAUUACUGGGCGUAAAGGGCGCGUAGGCGGCGCGAUAAGUUGGGCGUGAAAGGCCCGGGCUCAACCCGGGGACUGCGCUCGAUACUGUCGCGCUGUGAGUCCGGGAGAGGAUGGCGGAAUUCCCAGUGUAGAGGUGAAAUUCGUAGAUAUGGGGAGGAACACCGGUGGCGAAGGCGGCCAUCUGGACGGAUACUGACGCUGAGACGCGAAAGCGUGGGGAGCAAACAGG